CGAGGGGCAGCGGAGGCGAGUGCUUGCACUUGCCAGACGGCGACCGGCGCACGGGUGAGUAACACGUAUGCAACCUGCCCGUAGCAGGGGGAUAAGCGGAAGAAAUUCCGUCUAAUACCGCGUAAUAUCUUUCGGGGGCAUCCCUGAGGGAUUAAAGGAAGCGAUUCCGGCUACGGAUGGGCAUGCGGCGCAUUAGCUAGUCGGCGGGGUAACGGCCCACCGAGGCGACGAUGCGUAGGGGUUCUGAGAGGAAGGUCCCCCACACUGGUACUGAGACACGGACCAGACUCCUACGGGAGGCAGCAGUGAGGAAUAUUGGUUAAUGGGCGAGAGCCUGAACCAGCCAAGUCGCGUGAGGGAAGACGGUCCUAUGGAUUGUAAACCUCUUUUGUCGGGGAGCAAAAAGGCCUCGUGAGGCCACAAGCGAGAGUACCCGAAGAAAAAGCAUCGGCUAACUCCGUGCCAGCAGCCGCGGUAAUACGGAGGAUGCGAGCGUUAUUCUGAUUUAUUGGGUUUAAAAGGUGCGUAGGGCGGACAGGAAAGUCAGCGGUAAAAUCGAGAGGCUCAACCUCUUUCCGCCGUUGAAACUGUCGGUCUUGAGUGGGCGAGAAGUAUGCGGAAUGCGUGGUGUAGCGGUGAAAUGCAUAGAUAUCACGCAGAACUCCGAUUGCGAAGGCAGCAUACCGGCGCCCAACUGACGCUGAGGCACGAAAGCGUGGGUAUCGAACAGGAUUAGAUACCCUGGUAGUCCACGCAGUAAACGAUGAAUACUAAUUGUCCGGUCAGAAUGAUGACUGGGUGAUACAGCGAAAGCGUUAAGUAUUCCACCUGGGGAGUACGCCGGCAACGGUGAAACUCAAAGGAAUUGACGGGGGCCCGCACAAGCGGAGGAACAUGUGGUUUAAUUCGAUGAUACGCGAGGAACCUUACCCGGGCUCAAACGUAGAAUGACAGACGGUGAAAGCCGUUCUCCCUUCGGGGCAGUCUACGAGGUGCUGCAUGGUUGUCGUCAACUCGUGCCGUGAGGUGUCGGCUUAAGUGCCAUAACGAGCGCAACCCCCAUCUACAGUUGCUAACAGGUAAAGCUGAGGACUCU
rnacentral:rRNA from 1 species